GAUGAACGCUAGCGGCAGGCCUAACACAUGCAAGUCGAGGGGUAUAGUAGCAAUACUAGAGACCGGCGCACGGGUGCGUAACGCGUAUGCAACUUACCUUUAACUGGGGGAUAGCUCGAAGAAAUUCGGAUUAAUACCGCAUAACAUUUAGUAUCGGCAUCGAUAUUAAAUUAAAACUCCGGUGGUUAAAGAUAGGCAUGCGUGCCAUUAGCUAGUUGGUGAGGUAACGGCUCACCAAGGCUACGAUGGCUAGGGGGUCUGAGAGGAUGAUCCCCCACACUGGUACUGAGACACGGACGAGACUCCUACGGGAGGCAGCAGUGAGGAAUAUUGGUCAAUGGAGGCAACUCUGAACCAGCCAUGCCGCGUGAAGGAUGACUGCCCUAAGGGUUGUAAACUUCUUUUGUAUGGGGCGAAAUACCGUUCGUGAACGGGGCUGACAGUACCAUACGAAUAAGCAUCGGCUAACUCCGUGCCAGCAGCCGCGGUAAUACGGAGGAUGCAAGCGUUAUCCGGAUUUAUUGGGUUUAAAGGGUGCGUAGGCGGGAUUGUAAGUCAGUGGUGAAAGCCUGCAGCUUAACUGUAGAAUUGCCAUUGAUACUGCAGUCCUUGAGUCCAGUUGAGGUGGGCGGAAUGUGUAGUGUAGCGGUGAAAUGCUUAGAUAUUACACAGAACACCAAUUGCGUAGGCAGCUCACUAAACUGGUACUGACGCUGAGGCACGAAAGCGUGGGGAUCAAACAGGAUUAGAUACCCUGGUAGUCCACGCCGUAAACGAUGAUCACUCGCUGUUGGCGGUACACAGUCAGCGGCUAAGCAAAAGCAUUAAGUGAUCCACCUGGGGAGUACGUCGGCAACGAUGAAACUCAAAGGAAUUGACGGGGGCCCGCACAAGCGGAGGAACAUGUGGUUUAAUUCGAUGAUACGCGAGGAACCUUACCUGGGCUCGAACGCAGAGCGACGGUAGUAGAAAUAUUACUUCCCUUCGGGGUGGUCUGCGAGGUGCUGCAUGGUUGUCGUCAGCUCGUGCCGUGAAGUGUCGGAUUAGGUUCCAUAACGAGCGCAACCCUUAUCAUUAGUUGCCAACGGGUCAUGCCGGGGACUCUAAUGAAACUGCCGGUGUAAACCGUGAGGAAGGUGGGGAUGACGUCAAAUCAGCACGGCCCUUACGUCCAGGGCCACACACGUGUUACAAUGGCCAGUACAAAGGGCAGCUACUUCGCGAGAAGAUGCUAAUCUCUAAAACUGGUCUCAGUUCGGAUUGGAGUCUGCAACUCGACUCCAUGAAGCUGGAUUCGCUAGUAAUCGCGCAUCAGCCAUGGCGCGGUGAAUACGUUCCCGGGCCUUGUACACACCGCCCGUCAAGCCAUGGGAGCCGGGGGUACCUAAAGUCCGUAACCGCAAGGAGCGGCCUAGGGUAAAACUGGUGACUGGGGC
rnacentral:rRNA from 1 species